AAAACAAAUUAAAGAUAAACAUAAGCAGACCAUUGGGGGGGGUAUACUCUUAACGACCUGAGUAGGCCUGACAGAAAAGUUUUCAGCAGGCAUUUAAAAGUUGGUGUGGAAGGCACCUGCUGAAUUUCUAAUGUCAGGGUGUUCUACAGGACUGAAUUUCGUGUGAUUUCAGUGAUCAGUCUGGAGUAUAAGGUAUUUUGGACCACAGUUGGUCAGGGCUUUGUAAAUCAGCAAGAACCUUGAACCUGGCUUGGUAGCCAGAUGGGUAGCCAGUGUCACAUGUUCUCAGCCAGAAGCUCCCAUCAACAACCUCACUGCAGCAUUCUGCACCAUCUGGAGCUUCUGAACCAGACCCACGGGCAGCCCCAUAUGAAGUGCCUUACAGUAGUCUAACAUUGAGGUUGCUAAUGCAUAGAUUGCAAUGGUCAGGCUAUCCCUGUCUAGGAACAGUCGGAGUUGGCAAACCAAACAAGGGCACUCCUAGCCACAGAGGACACUUAGGCCUCUAGGGACAAAGCUGUAUCUUGGGUAAUUCCCUCCCCAUCCCCUGCCGCUAUUGAUCUCUGAAGUAAGUAUCUCUUUUGCCAGUAAGAUUGCAGUUCGUUUUCUAGGACAAAUUACUUUUAAUACAUAAAGCUUGUGACUUCGUGGGUGAUUAUGGACUACUCCCAGUGGUUGUUUUGCCCUGCUUAGGGAGAACUACCAGGGAAAGAUGAUAUCCAAUCAAGCCAAAUAAUGAUACUCACAGCAUUGGUGCAGUUCCUGUGUGUGAAGGAUUCUGAAAGGCCUCACCAGAGUUCAGUUUUUGACCCCUCCUUCAUCUUCAGGAGCACAUGCACAUGACAUACGUAAGUGAAGCCACAGCAUGAAGCCAUUGCAACUUAUUUUAUUCAGUAAAAGAGAGACUUCAGUCCUUUGCUGUCUUGUAUCUAUCAUGGUAGAAGGCUGCCCACCACCCCCACUGCCAAAUCUAUGAGACACUUCUCUGAACAACCUUCAGCUCCAAAUAUGCCCUCUGCAGGAUUUGGAUGGGCCAACGAAAGAUAGGGAUUUGGAGUCCAGCACUAGUUUACAUUGAUCAAUCAUUCCUCCCUUCCUCCACGCAAUUUAUUUGUGCUCAUGGGCUCCAUGUAUAGGGAGCGGAGGAGGCUUCAGGUCUCCUUCACUGCAGUGGAGCUGUGCACAGUGCAGCCCAGUUGAGAGGGAUGGCAGGUCUCUGCAGCUGAUUCCCCACUCCAAGGAAGCUGCCUUGGCAGCUCCAUCACACACCCAUUGGAGCCUGUUUUGGGGGGCGGGGCACCUGGUCAUGCCCCCUCCAGAAAAUGUGCCCAGUGGAUGGUGGGCUCAGUGGGUCAGGCUGGGUUGGGGGGGGGCGUCGUGUGUGACAUCAUGCACAUGUGAUGCGCCCCUCCCAAAUGUUGGGCACAACUUGGUGCACCUGUUUGUGCUUGAAAUGCACAAAGGAUGACAGAACAUUGAUGCAGAAGCCACGCUACCUAUCUCAAGACAUCUUGCAGAAUAAAAACAAUAUGAAGCCCACCAUAAUUAAUGAAUGAAACAUGGUGAUCAUAAUAUGACACGCAUCCAGCCCAUAAAUAUUAAAGUCCAAAAUAAAAUACAGCUAAAACCAUCAGCCAUCUAAUACCAACUCAAGAUAAAGCCAAAGAAAACAAGAAACUCGGAGCAUUACCAGGAGGAUUGAAAUCUGCGUUGAAGUUGGAUGCAUGGAAUAAAAGCCACAGUUUCAGAUCUAAUACAACCUAUUUAUUGCACCUUUACCACACGAGCUUGAUACAUGCAUGUCAUCAAGCUCACUUACCAUAUAAGGGCAUAAGAACAGCCCUGCUGGAUCAGACUAAAGGCCCAACUGUUCCAGCAUCCUGUUCUUGCAGUGGUCAAGCAGAUAUCUGGGAAACCCACAAAUGAAACUUGAGUGCAACAACAUUCUCUCCUUAUUCCCAGCAUAUGAUAUUCAGAGGCGUAUUACCUUAGACACUAGAGAUGUAACAUAGCCAUCAUGGCAAGUAGCUAUUGAUAGCCUUAUCCUAUUUUAAAGCCAUCUGAAUUGAUGUCUCUCACUAUAUCCUGCUGGACUGUAUCCUUAAUUCAACUAUCUGCUGUGUGAAAAAGUACCUCCUUUUGUUUUUCUUGAAUACAGUUCAUAUAAAACGAAGAACAACUUUAAAUCUUGUGCAUUCAUGCCAACAGGAGUUAAAAAAAAAACCCACCCAUUUUGUUACUCAUUUUAUAGGUCCUUUUCCAAAUUAGCUGCUGAUCACAGCUUUGCUCAUUCACUAAUAUUGUCACUUAUGAAUUUGUAGGCCUUAUUCAAUAUUAUACCAGAAGCUAGUGAAUAUUCUUGUAACUGUCAUUCGCCAGAUGUUUCAUCCAGUAGCAUUUAACACUGAUUUAGAUUGAUUCAGUACAAAUACAUUUCCUUUGAAGCUCUCCUUGGAUUUUUCUUUGCUUUUUUUUAAAAAAAGAAAAACCACACACACACACCUCCCUUUCUUUCUCCCUUCCCCUUUCAAUUAAUGUGACAAGCAACAACCAGGGUCUUUCAUUACUUAUACUUGGUAACUGUGGGCAACAUUUUAGUAGCAUAUCCAUUAAAGUGAAAUGAGGCACAAAGCUCAAUUGUAACAAUUUUAAAUGCGCACCAAAGCGAAAGUAGGCCUUGCUUUGUUUUUAAGGUUAUGAAUGCUCACCACCCUCUUUAUAGAAAAUGUUGGAAGUAAAGGUAAAUUUUAUCCUCCAUCAAAGUGCUGCAGUGACAGAGAGAGAAACCAUAGAGAUUCAUUAGAAUUCAAUGCCGAUCUGUUUGCACCUUUCUUGCUCCCUGUAGACAGAUGGGUUUUAUUCAUUGGUACCUGAAAAGUGCCACUUUGCUAAUAUGUAAAUUUUGCUAAUAUAUAAAUUUGUGUGUGUGUGUGUGUCUUCUUUGCUAUAGAACAUAAUUAUUGUAAUAAUUCUAGCAAAGAAUGAAAGUUGAAUAAAAUGAUGCACUUACAAGAUAAGCAGCUGCUCUUACAGCUUUUUAAAUCACAUUUAAAGUUUGUGGGCACCCCAAAGCCUAAAGUGUGAAACAUCUUACUUGCUUUCUUUGCAGAGAAGCAGAAAUACUAUCAUUCAGAACUGACUGCACUACACAAGUCCUUCCUCUUGUCUUGCCCCCUUCUGGUCAGGAAUGCACAACCAGAUAAGUGACUCAUACAGGUUUGAGCAAGCCACUCUUCUUACUCUUACACACUCUGGAAAGAAAGAAAAAGCUUUUUAGAAAUUAGGAAAAAAAAGUGUUUCAGCAAUAUAAGUUUGGGAACUGUGCUAGCUCAAGGUUUUGAAGGGCUUGGUCAAGAUGCCACCCAUUUCUUCUUCCACCGCUUAUUCACUUACUCUUGGGCAAAUUUUGGCCCAUGCUUUGGGACCAAAUUAUGAAAUAGCUGGAUUUGGUUAGACAACCCAAAUAGACAAAAGAAUGCAGAGCUGGAGACUAGAUUCCCCUGAUCAGCUGGGCACAUAACCACAGAGAGACAUGGUGGAUAGAUCCAGGUGUUGGGGAAAUGACUGGUAGCCUUGAAUAGAUUGUAAAUCAUUAUUAUUGUUACAUCUGUACAUUUGCCAUUUGAGGGUGUGCUGUCUGUUAGCAGUGUCAUUCUUCAGGCUUAAGCUCCUUUUCCAGGGUCUCUAGAAGAAAAAUCUCAGGGUGGGUUGAUGGGUGUUUCUUGUCUCUAAAUAUGCACGUAGAUAAAUAUGUGCACAUGUAAGGUUCCUGCCAACCUAGCAGUUCGAAAGCACAUCAAAGUGCAAGUAGAUACGGUAAAUAGGUACCGCUCCAGCGGGAAGGUAAACGGUGUUUCCGUGCGCUGCUCUGGUUCGCCAGAAGCGGCUUAGUCAUGCUGGCCGCAUGACCCGGAAGCUGUCUGCGGACAAAUGCUGGCUCCCUCGGUCAUGACUGGACCUAAUGGUCAGGGGUCCCUUUACCUUUAAGGCUCCAUGCAGUGCACAGCUUGCAAUGCCCAGAUACUGUGUGGAUUUCAGAGGAGGGGGGAGAAUACAGAUAGCCCAAGUUGCCCCCAAUCUCCCAUAUUCCUCCUUGCUCAUGUGCCCUAGCCUUCACCACUCAUGGGAGAGGGUUCUUCUGCACCUAUUCUUUUCCCUCCUAAGAUUUCCUGUGCCAGUUAAUUUUGGGAGUCAGGAGGGAGCCUUCCUUGUCCUCCGCUUGCUGAAAUGUAAACACCUUCUAACAGACAUGGCAGGUUUUUGGCCCCUUCUCUCAGCCCUGUUGAGGUCUCCACACUUUACUGUCUCCCUGUUUUCCUGCUGUUGGUUGUUUAUAUCCAUAGCAUUACAGUCGCAGCAAGGUACCUUAUGUAAUUGGAUUAGUGGUUCACCAGGCAGCACCACAUAGGCCUUAUCUAGAAAGCAGCUUUUAAGUACAACCAAAACUUACCCAAAACCUGGAGUACCUUCCGUUGCAUUGUAUUAUCAUCUCCCUGCUUACAAUUGGGGUUUGGGUUGUGUGUGUGUGUGUGUGUGUGUGUGUGUGUGUGUGUUCCACAGGAUAAGCUAAAGUGAAAGGGUGUUAUGUGUAUUAGAGUUUCAUUCAGUUUUUGUAAUGUCAUAGCAGGAAACUGAAUUUCAGUGAAUGGAAAUACUGUUGCCAAAUGUUAACAAACAAUUCCCUCAGUUUGUAUGCAUUGUUAUAGGAUCCACUGUCCUUUUCUCUUUUCACUUUUUUAUAUAAAAAGGGUGCCCCCCUGUUUUUCUGUACAAUACACUAAGAAGAUUUACAGUUUAUAAAACUGGGACAGCCUGGCAGGGGACAUUAGGACAGGCCUGUCCACAAACCAUCUUCAGAGGAUAAUAAUAUCAGUGAUAAAAUGACUGCCAUGACAAUUGCAGAGAAAGGUGAAUUGCAGUGUAUGUGCAAUAAACUACCUAUAUAUAUAUAUAUGAGAGAGAAAGCGCUUUUGAGUGUUCGGUACUCAUUUUCAUUAAAUGCAGCAAGAAACACCUCCACUAAAUCCCAGUAAUUUGGCUUUUGUACACGCGACCAAAUUAACAUAGGAAGAAAUGGCAUAACUAAAAGAUUUGUUUUAAAUAUCUGCUAGCAGUGAUGUGCUUUCCUAACAUUUCAGUAGAAGUUAGAAGCAAAAUACUGUUAACAAAACAUUUCUUGCUGUUAGAGGGUCAGGUAUUUUAUCAGAACCCUCCCAUAGAUUUUGAACCAUUUUCUGGUUGCCUGUUAAUUGCAGCUGAAUGUUACCAAGAUCCCUCCUUCCCCGGUAUGCCUUAGCAACUUUAAAAUAGAAAGAAAUGUGGUAAGUGAACAUGCUUUCUGGGAUGGAGAUGUGUUAUGGGAAAAGCUUCAGCUGGAGGAUUUCUGCUUCUUGUGCAACUGUUAAAGGCACAUAUGUGGUGCAAAAAUAAAAUACACCCUAUAUGAAUGCCAUUAAAUGUUAUUACAGAGUAAAUCAAAGAACAUGCAUUUAUUUACAUGGUAUUAACUCUUAUUGAUUCCUACUGUACUUAGC